CUCGCCUACAUGAAGCUGGAAUUGCUAGUAAUCACAGGUCAGCAUACUGUGGUGAAUACGUUCCCGGGCCUUGUACACACCGCCCGUCACACCAUGAGAGUUGAGAAUACCCGAAGCCCAUGUCAAAGUGGUCGAAGGUAGGCUUGAUGAUUGGGGUGAAGUCGUAACAAGGUAGC
rnacentral:rRNA from 1 species